AUUCGCACUCGCUAAAUUUGCAUUCGCACUCGCUAAAUUUGCAUUCGCACUCGCUAAAUUUCCACCACCCCCCUUAAUUUAGCGAGUGCGAAUGUAAAUUUAGCGAGUGCGAAUGCAAAUUUAGCGAGUGCGAAUGCAAAUUUAGCGAGUGCGAAU
rnacentral:miRNA from 1 species